rnacentral:tRNA from 1 species
GGGGGAUUAGCUCAGCUGGUAGAGCAUCUGGUUCGCAAUCAGGAGGUCACGGGUUCAAGUCCCGCAUUCUCCACCA